ACUAUAUUUGCAUAUUAAUUAUUAUAUAUUAUUUGCAACAGUGUUAAGUUGUAUUCUAGCAAUAUUCGGCGGAAACAAGAAAGAUGAAACUUUACGUUGUGGCUUUGCUGCUGGUUCUUGCACUUGUGACAGAAUCUACAUCGCCAAAUAGAGAAGGAUCUAGAUAUCUUAGCCGUUCGGGUCCUCAAAUUUUACAGAAGUAUCGGGAUGUAGCUGUACGAACGAAGAAACCGAAUGCCAAUUCGAUAAUCAUAAAUCGUGCUCCCGGAAAGUUAUAAAAAUGUAAACGAGCAGAUGACUGCUUUAGUGAGACGCGACAGCUAAAUAAAGCGUUACAAAUGUUGUUGCUUGUGUACAUUUUCCAAACCCCAUUACGUCCCUAUUUAUAACAUGAGAACUACUGUAAACAAUCCUUUAUUUUUGGGCUAAAAAGAUGAUAAAAAAGUUUCAGAAAUAGUCAUAAAGUCCCCGUUUUCUGAGUUUGUCAUUAAUGAUAAGUGUACAAACCCAUUCGAAUAGUAGCAGCCUGUUACUCUAUGUACAUUAAAACAGUGAGUCUGUCAGAAGAUGCACACCAUUAUAUUGAAAAGAUUUGUUUUGGUAACAUUACUGAAGCACUUGAUCAUAAUAAUCACUUCCCAUUGGACCACUUCGUCGCUAGUUAAAGCGAGUACGGUUAUUGUUGUCAAUCGAUUUGUGGGAACUGUUAACAACACAACCUGCGUUACCUAUUAUCAGUGAACGAAAUGUUCUUGUCAAGAUGUAUAUAAAAGGCCUGAUAAACAAAACGUUGCUUUACAAACCUGUCUUUAUAAUUAGUUCAUUGUGUAUGUCCUAUAAUAAAGUUCAUUUAUAUUA
rnacentral:lncRNA from 1 species